CUCCUGCUGUACUUGGCCAGAUGCGGAAGUUCCAGCAUCUCCGACUUCCCGCUCCGCCCGGGACUUAACACUGAGGUCAGCAAUGAGCACCCCGUCCCUCUGCUUCACACCAGGCCUGGCUGGCAGCCCCUGUGGAACAAAGGUCACUGCAAAUGCUGCCUGACCCACUGAGAUGACCCAGGGAAUUCGGAGCCAGAGAAAUCUCCUGGACUAGUUGGGAUUGCUCAGAUGGAUCGGAGGGAAACCUACACAAUUCUUCCUUCGAAUUUGGAUUGUUUUUUUUGUCAGAAUUCUGGAUCAUGUUUUGGUGGGAUGGGGAGUGUAUAUAGUGUGACUUGCAAUGUUUCACAACUCUGUGGGAAAAGGUGAAUGGGACAGAGAUCCUUAUCCGCUGACUGUGGUCUGUCUGUUCAUAGUAUUGCAAGCUUUGUCUGAAGCACCAAUCAGAGAGCACAGUCAAAGCCAUUCCUUUGAACCAGCCCUCCAGGCUAACAUGGGCCCAUCUUUUGUCUGCAGUCUGUCUUUAUCAUCUCCCCGUCUUUACUCUCCUAAAAGUUGCUGAAGUACUGAACCUAAGUCUGCAUUUUAUCCAGCUGUGUCUGUAGUAAAUACACAAGAGAUAGGA